AAAAAGAGAAAAAAAAAAUGAAGAAAAUUUUCAUGUUUUUAUUCGUGCUAUGGUCUGUUUUUCUUGCUUUUGUUGUAAGUGACGUAAGUGCUGGACAAUCUUUGCUGUGUUACAAUGAUGAUGACUGCCCUCCCAUAAUUUCACUUUUCUAUUCGCGUUGUGUUAAUGAUCAAUGUAUCUAUAGUUAAGUUGAGAAUUAUUACUACGUUAAUAACUUAUGUCAAAGCUUAUAAAUUUAUUAGAAAUCUUAAUAUUAUCACUCUUAUAUUAUUAUAAGUUUGAGUGAACUAUAUUUUGUUUUUCAUAAUGGGAAUGAUUUGAGUAUUAGCUUUA